rnacentral:tRNA from 1 species
GAGGGUAUAGCUCCGUGGUAGAGUGCUUGCCUAGCAUGCAAGAGGUCCUGGAACCAAUCCCCAGUACUUCCA